UCACAGAGGGUGAGAAUCCCGUGCGAUGAGAUGAUCCAGGCCUAUGUAAAGUUCCUUCGAAGAGUCGAGUUGUUUGGGAAUGCAGCUCUAAGUGGGUGGUAAAUUCCAUCUAAAGCUAAAUAUUGGCGAGAGACCGAUAGCGAACAAGUACAGUGAUGGAAAGAUGAAAAGAACUUUGAAAAGAGAGUGAAAAAGUACGUGAAAUUGUUGAAAGGGAAGGGCUUGAGAUCAGACUUGGUAUUUUGUAUGUUACUUCUUCGGGGGUGGCCUCUACAGUUUAUCGGGCCAGCAUCAGUUUGGGCGGUAGGAGAAUUGCGUUGGAAUGUGGCACGGCUUCGGUUGUGUGUUAUAGCCUUCGUCGAUACUGCCAGCCUAGACUGAGGACUGCGGUUUAUACCUAGGA
rnacentral:rRNA from 1 species